ensembl:lncRNA
CGGCACCAACAGUUUCCCAGCUUACGGCUGUGCAUCUAAAAACCUGUGUGCAGCUGCUUCAAGCCUGGGUUCUCUACCUUUCAUGCAGAUGGUUGGUACCAUAACAAGUGGACCAAACUGUACUUCAUGCACAACCACAGCUGCACCAACCACAACAACAGCUGCUCCAACCACAACAAAAGCUGCUUCAACCACAACUACUGCUGCACCAACAACAACUACUCCAACUACGACCAUUGCUGCCCCAACCACUACAACAACUGCUAAAACCACUACAACUGCUGCACCAACCACAACAAUAGUCGUAGAUACCAGAACAACUUCUGCACCAACAUCGACAACAGCUGGAGCACUUCAGUGCCAAAACUGCACAGAUGAGACGUGUUCAAGCACAGUAACAGUGAACUGUUCUUCAGAGACCAUGUGUGUUACAGCUACUAUUUUAGCUACCUCAUCUGGAACUACAGCAACACAAUUCUACAAGGCGUGUGCAUCUUCCUCUCUGUGUCCAGCUACGGGCAAUCAGACAUUUUCAGUUAACCUGGGUGUUCAAAGUGUUCUUGCCUCUGCCACGUGCUGCAACACGGAUAACUGCAACUCACAAAAUCUGACUGCUCCUACUCCUCAGUCAAGUAACGGCCUACUAUGUAACGUUUGUGUCGCCUCUCAGUGCAACACUACAUUACAGUGUCAGGGAGUGGAGGACCAAUGCUUUCAAUCAAUGAUGACGAACGGCACCAACAGUUUCCCAGCUUACGGCUGUGCAUCUGCAAACCUGUGUGCAGCUGCUUCAAGCCUGGGUUCUCUACCUUUCAUGCAGAUGGUUGGUACCAUAACAAGUGGACCAAACUGUACUUCAUGCACAACCACUGCUGCACCAACCACAACAACAGCUGCUCCAACCACAACAAAAGCUGCUUCAACCACAACUACUGCUGCACCAACAACAACUACUCCAACUACGACCAUUGCUGCCCCAACCACUACAACAACUGCUAAAACCGCUACAACAGCUGCUCUAACCACAACAACUGCUGCACCAACCACAACAAUAGUCGUAGAUACCAGAACAACUUCUGCACCAACAUCGACAACAGCUGGAGCACUUCAGUGCCAAAACUGCACAGAUGAGACGUGUUCAAGCACAGUAACAGUGAACUGUUCUUCAGAGACCAUGUGUGUUACAGCUACUAUUUUAGCUACCUCAUCUGGAACUACAGCAACACAAUUCUACAAGGCGUGUGCAUCUUCCUCUCUGUGUCCAGCUACGGGCAAUCAGACAUUUUCAGUUAACCUGGGUGUUCAAAGUGUUCUUGCCUCUGCCACGUGCUGCAACACGGAUAACUGCAACUCACAAAAUCUGACUGCUCCUACUCGUCAGUCAAGUAACGGCCUACUAUGUAACGUUUGUGUCGCCUCUCAGUGCAACACUACAUUACAGUGUCAGGGAGUGGAGGACCAAUGCUUUCAAUCAACGAUGACGAACGGCACCAACAGUUUCCCAGCUUACGGCUGUGCAUCUGCAAACCUGUGUGCAGCUGCUUCAAGCCUGGGUUCUCUACCUUUCAUGCAGAUGGUUGGUACCAUAACAAGUGGACCAAACUGUACUUCAUGCACAACCACUGCUGCACCAACCACAACAACAGCUGCUCCAACCACAACAAAAGCUGCUUCAACCACAACUACUGCUGCACCAACAACAACUACUCCAACUACGACCAUUGCUGCCCCAACCACUACAACAACUGCUAAAACCACUACAACAGCUGCUCUAACCACAACAACUGCUGCACCAACCACAAUAAUAGUCGUAGAUACCAGAACAACUUCUGCACCAACAUCGACAACAGCUGGAGCACUUCAGUGCCAAAACUGCACAGAUGAGACGUGUUCAAGCACAGUAACAGUGAACUGUUCUUCAGAGACCAUGUGUGUUACAGCUACUAUUUUAGCUACCUCAUCUGGAACUACAGCAACACAAAUCUACAAGGCGUGUGCAUCUUCCUCUCUGUGUCCAGCUACGGGCAAUCAGACAUUUUCAGUUAACCUGGGUGUUCAAAGUGUUCUUGCCUCUGCCACGUGCUGCAACACGGAUAACUGCAACUCACAAAAUCUGACUGCUCCUACUCGUCAGUCAAGUAACGGCCUACUAUGUAACGUUUGUGUCGCCUCUCAGUGCAACACUACAUUACAGUGUCAGGGAGUGGAGGACCAAUGCUUUCAAUCAACGAUGACGGACGGCACCAAGAGUUUCCCAGCUUACGGCUGUGCAUCUAAAAACCUGUGUGCAGCUGCUUCAAGCCUGGGUUCUUUACCUUUCAUGCAGAGGGUUGGUACCAUAACAAGUCGACAAACCUGUAGUUCACCCACAACCACAACAACUGGUCCUCCAACCACAACCACAGCUGCCCCAACCACAAGAACACCUGCAUCAACCACCACAAUUUCUGCACCAACCACCACAAUCGCUGCACCAACCACGACCACUUCUUCACCAACCACAACAAGAAGUAAUGUAUCUUCUAUUAGAAUGAAUGUAAUUCCUCUUCUACUGGGAGUCCUUUUCUUUCACCUCUUUUAAUAAAAGGAACUUCUACUUUUCUUUUGUAGUUGGGAUUUUCUUACAUCUUAUCAUAUUUAAGUGUCUGGGAAAAGCUGAACACAUACUUAAGACGCUAUUACCCCUUUCCAAGUGACUUCAAAAUUGUAAUUGUUUACAUAAUGUUUUAAAUACAAAUAUAUUUAUCUAUUUAUGAAAGUCAUUGUUUAAAUGUGUUGAAUAAAUGUAGUAGUAUGCAAUAUAUGAGUACAAAUAAACAACUAUAUACUCUACCAAUAACUAGUUAUCUGGGAAUUUUUGGUCAUAUGUUGAUAUAUAAUCAGUUGUCUAUUCAUAAAAAAAUCUAUCAAAUAUCAAAUGACUUAACUAUUCAGGACAGUAUUUCUAAAACUAGUUACGGCAAUCACACCCAAAAAACUGAAAAAAACCCCCAACAACAACAACAACAACAAAUGUGACAGUAAUAACGUUAUAAUUCAUCUGACAUAAGGGUGCACUUUUUUUUUUGCCUGUCCCAUUUGGUUUUUUAGCCGUCAGAAUUGUUGUCUGAAGAUCAACAAGGAUACCCAAUGGAUUUACUUUACCAAAUGGAUCAUCACGGCCUUGCCGUAUUGGUCCAUUUGAUCGACCUUUGUUGUUAUUAUUUAUUUUAUUAAUAAAUAAUUAACCCCAGCUAUCUCUGGGUUAAGUCUUUUUUCAGAAGCACACCCAAACAGUUUAGAAGAUAACAGGUUAUGACAUCCACACAAACUAAUCUAGGUUUUGUAUUAAUUCAAAUAUUCAUCAGCAUGUCCACAUGAAAAAAAAAAACUCUACUUCCCAGUUUCCUUCACAUAUAGUUGGUAAUCGCUUUUUCUCAUUGCUAAUAUGAAGUAGACUGAAUCCACUCACUGAAAUAAUUUGGCCAAAGUAAAAGAUUUCCACAUCAGUUUGCCAAACAGAAUCAAAAAGAGAAUCUAAAAACUAAAACAAGAAAAUACGGUUUCCAAAAAGUGUGGCAUAUCUUUCUUUCUUAUCUGUAUUUAAUUUUAUUUAAUUUAAUAACAGUACAGUACUCCGUUUUUGGUAACCAUUGUCCUUGAUGUAAAUAUGUAAAACUUGUGUAUGUUUCUGUUCUGUGUCUUUAGUACUGUUUGUUUGUAUAUGUCUUUCUUGCUGCUGUUAUACCCAAAUUUCCCCUUGUGGGACAAUUAAAGGAUUAUUCUAUUCUAUUCUAUUCUUUUCUUCUUGUUUGUAUUUGGGGGUUUUUGAGUCCAUCACAUCCACAUACAUCAUCUUUAAAACUGUUUGGGUGUGCCUUGGAAAGGU